CCUACGGGUUGCACCAGUGGGGAAUAUUGGACAAUGGGCGAAAGCCUGAUCCAGCAAUGCCGCGUGUGUGAAGAAGGUCUUCGGAUUGUAAAGCACUUUCGACGGGGACGAUAAUGACGGUACCCGUAGAAGAAGCCCGGCUAACUUCGUGCAGCAGCCGCGGUAAUACGAAGGGGGCUAGCGUUGCUCGGAAUGACUGGGCGUAAAGGGCGCGUAGGCGGUUUAUGCAGUCAGAUGUGAAAACCCCGGGCUUAACCUGGGAACUGCAUUUGAGACGCAUAGACUAGAGGUCGAGAGAGGGUUGUGGAAUUCUCAGUGUAGAGGUGAAAUUCGUAGAUAUUGGGAAGAACACCGGUGGCGAAGGCGGCAACCUGGCUCGAUACUGACGCUGAGGCGCGAAAGCGUGGGGAGCAAACAGGAUUAGAUACCCCAGUAGUC
rnacentral:rRNA from 1 species